rnacentral:rRNA from 1 species
CAGUAGCCGCGGUAAUACGUAGGUGGCAAGCGUUGUCCGGAAUUAUUGGGCGUAAAGCGCGCGCAGGUGGUUUAAUAAGUCUGAUGUGAAAGCCCACGGCUCAACCGUGGAGGGUCAUUGGAAACUGUUAAACUUGAGUGCAGGAGAGAAAAGUGGAAUCCCUAGUGUAGCGGUGAAAUGCGUAGAGAUUAGGAGGAGCACCAGUGGCGAAGGCGGCUUUUUGGCCUGUAACUGACACUGAGGCGCGAAAGCGUGGGGAGCAAACAGGAUUAGAUACCCCUGUAGUCCCUGUCUCUUAUAC